rnacentral:rRNA from 1 species
UACGGAGGGUGCAAGCGUUAUCCGGAUUCACUGGGUUUAAAGGGUGCGUAGGAGGGCAGGUAAGUCAGUGGUGAAAUCCCCGAGCUUAACUUGGGAACUGUCGUUGAUACUAUCUGUCUUGAAUGCUGUGGAGGUGAGCGGAAUAUGUCAUGUAGCGGUGAAAUGCUUAGAUAUGACAUAGAACACCAAUUGCGAAGGCAGCUCGCUACACAGUUAUUGACUCUGAGGCACGAAAGCGUGGGGAUCAAACAGG